UACGUAGGGUGCGAGCGUUAAUCGGAAUUACUGGGCGUAAAGUGUGCGCAGGCGGCCGCGCAAGUCGAGUGUGAAAGCCCCCGAGCUUAACUUGGGAAUUGCGCUCGAAACUACGUGGCUGGAGUGUGGCAGAGGAAGGUGGAAUUCCACGUGUAGCGGUGAAAUGCGUAGAGAUAUGGAGGAACACCGAUGGCGAAGGCAGCCUUCUGGGCCAACACUGACGCUCGAUGCACGAAGCGUGGGAGCA
rnacentral:rRNA from 1 species